rnacentral:rRNA from 1 species
GUAGGUGGCAAGCGUUGUCCGGAAUUAUUGGGCGUAAAGCGCGCGCAGGCGGUCCUUUAAGUCUGAUGUGAAAGCCCACGGCUCAACCGUGGAGGGUCAUUGGAAACUGGGGGACUUGAGUGCAGAAGAGAAGAGUGGAAUUCCACGUGUAGCGGUGAAAUGCGUAGAGAUGUGGAGGAACACCAGUGGCGAAGGCGACUCUUUGGUCUGUAACUGACGCUGAGGCGCGAAAGCGUGGGGAGCAAACAGGAUUAGAUACCCUGGUAGUCCACGCCGUAAACGAUGAGUGCUAAGUGUUAGAGGGUUUCCGCCCUUUAGUGCUGCAGCAAACGCAUUAAGCACUCCCGCCUGGGAGUACGGCCGCAAGGCUG